rnacentral:lncRNA from 1 species
UCUCCCUCAUUAGCAUCUCCACAUACCUCCGAUGAAACCACUGGCUUUCAUUCUCUACCUCUCGACGCCUCUUUCUCAGGACCUCAGAUUCCGCCUCUGUGUCCUUGACUGCCUGCUGCUCGUAUACCAACUGGAUCUUCAAUUGCUGUAGCUCGGCCUUCCCCUCCCCAAGGGUGACCGAUAGCUCUUCUACAGUCCCUCUCAGGGAUUAGAGUUCGUUGGGAUCCCGAACGGGAGCAAACGGAGCUCCUUCAGAUAACUGCCUUUGAAGGUGGGCAACCUCGUCGGUUGCCAUCCUGAGCUUCCCCCUGU